AGAUCAUGAUGUGGGCAAUUCCUUAGUAAACCUUUGUAUCUCUCUCACGCCUCGUAUAAGGAUUCUCCAGCUUGUUGCUCGAAGUUUGCUAUGGCUUUCUUCAACUU